AUUGAACGCUGGCGGCAUGCUUUACACAUGCAAGUCGAACGGUAACAGGGGAGCUUGCUCCUGCUGACGAGUGGCGAACGGGUGAGUAAUGCAUCGGAACGUGCCGAAUAGUGGGGGAUAACGCACCGAAAGGUGUGCUAAUACCGCAUACGCCCUGAGGGGGAAAGUGGGGGACCGCAAGGCCUCACGCUAAUCGAGCGGCCGAUGUCGGAUUAGCUAGUUGGUGGGGUAAAGGCUCACCAAGGCGACGAUCCGUAGCGGGUCUGAGAGGAUGAUCCGCCACACUGGGACUGAGACACGGCCCAGACUCCUACGGGAGGCAGCAGUGGGGAAUUUUGGACAAUGGGGGAAACCCUGAUCCAGCCAUGCCGCGUGUCUGAAGAAGGCCUUCGGGUUGUAAAGGACUUUUGUCCGGGAGGAAACCCUGAUCGUUAAUAGCGGUCGGGACUGACAGUACCGGAAGAAUAAGCACCGGCUAACUACGUG
rnacentral:rRNA from 1 species